rnacentral:rRNA from 1 species
ACAAGCGGUGGAGUAUGUGGUUUAAUUCGAUGCAACGCGAAGAACCUACCUGGUCUUGACAUCCCGGAGACCCUUAGGAAACUAGGGGGUGCUUCCAUCUGGAAGAAUCUGGAGACAGGUGCUGCAUGGCUGUCGUCAGCUCGUGUCGUGAGAUGUUGGGUUAAGUCCCGCAACGAGCGCAACCCUUGCCUUUAGUUGCCAGCAGUUCGGCUGGGCACUCUAAAGGGACUGCCGGUGUUAAACCGGAGGAAGGUGGGGAUGACGUCAAGUCCUCAUGGCCUUUAUGACCAGGGCUACACACGUACUACAAUGGCCGAUACAAAGGGCAGCGACACUGCGAGGUGAAGCCAAUCCCGUAAAAUCGGUCUCAGUCCGGAUUGGAGUCUGCAACUCGACUCCAUGAAGUUGGAAUCGCUAGUAAUCGUGGAUCAGCAUGCCACGGUGAAUACGUUCCCGGGCCUU